GACUAAAUGGCAGAUUAUAGCACAAAAAAUAGCCAACACGUUUUACUCCGUUUAUUGCGCCAUUGUGCAGAGUAUUGACACAGAGUUGUAUGGCAAUACUGACUCCCUAAUAAAGUAAAGAAUGUAUUGUUGAUAAAGCCUUAAAAUCAAAUUUUCUACAGAUCUCUCGUACAGCGAUGACACUCUGGAUCUCUGUGAGGAAAUGCUGCAGAUCUCCAUGUUAGUGAAGGAGCUCCCGGCCUCACUGCCACAUUCUGGGUAUGAAGAACUAGAGGAUAUGAUGUUCUUCAGCCUGUGGAGAGCAAUGAUCAACAGGGCAACCUGCAUAUCAGUGGGCUCAUAAGCUGGUGCAGGUUUCUGAUAGGCCACCGCCGGUCCAUUAGGACUUUGGGGUGGUCACACCGGCCCAGUGGUGCACACAGAAGGUCAGUCAGUUGUUUACACAGCAUGCAUACUCACGCCUCAUGAAUAAUAGAUUGAGAUGUACCCGAGUCACAAAGUUUACGUUUCCCAAUUUAAAUAGAGCAAUAUUUCAAAUCAUUUUUUGACAGGCUGUCGGUAUCAAAAAUGUGGAUUUUACAAAGCUGGUUCAUUUGUGGCCAUUCAAAAUCUGAGCUUAUACAAGACCAACAUGCAUUCAGCUUUGAGCAGAAAAGUUUCUCGUAUUUUCAAGCUCAAAUAGCAGGCAGCGUUACAUGAUUCACUUUUAGCU